AACCCAAUUAGUCUAUAAUUAGACAUGAAUUGCUAUAGUUAUAAAUGUGGUACAGUAUCUAUAAAAAAUUCUUUUCGCGAACUAAACAAGGCAGUCACAAGCAUUCAACAUCUGCCCCCAUUCAUAUUGCAAAAGUCGGUGCAAGGUGCAGAUAAAUUGAGAAAUUAUUCCUGACACAGUUAUCUAAUUGAGUCGAGAUUUAAGAUAACAUGUGUAAUGGGCUGAAAUGAGAAGCAAACAUAUAGCACAACAUGUCGAAAACAUACUACAGAUGAAACAAAACAAACAUAAAAAAAAUGUAAGUAGUGAAGGCAACACUUUGCAUUGGAAAAUGGCC
rnacentral:lncRNA from 1 species